UACGGGGGGGGCAAGCGUUGUUCGGAAUUACUGGGCGUAAAGGGCUCGUAGGCGGCCAACUAAGUCAGACGUGAAAUCCCUCGGCUUAACCGGGGAACUGCGUCUGAUACUGGAUGGCUUGAAUCCGGGAGAGGGAUGCGGAAUUCCAGGUGUAGCGGUGAAAUGCGUAGAUAUUGGGAGGAACACCAGUGGCGAAGGCGGCUCACUGGACCGGAACUGACGCUGAGGCGCGAAAGCGUGGGGAGCAAACAGG
rnacentral:rRNA from 1 species